rnacentral:rRNA from 1 species
AGUGAACGCUGGCGGUAGGCCUAACACAUGCAAGUCGAACGGCAGCACAGUAAGAGCUUGCUCUUACGGGUGGCGAGUGGCGGACGGGUGAGGAAUACAUCGGAAUCUACUUUUUCGUGGGGGAUAACGUAGGGAAACUUACGCUAAUACCGCAUACGACCUACGGGUGAAAGCAGGGGAUCUUCGGACCUUGCGCGAUUGAAUGAGCCGAUGUCGGAUUAGCUAGUUGGCGGGGUAAGGGCCCACCAAGGCGACGAUCCGUAGCUGGUCUGAGAGGAUGAUCAGCCACACUGGAACUGAGACACGGUCCAGACUCCUACGGGAGGCAGCAGUGGGGAAUAUUGGACAAUGGGCGCAAGCCUGAUCCAGCCACACCGCGUGGGUGAAGAAGGCCUUCGGGUUGUAAAGCCCUUUUGUUGGGAAAGAAAAGCAGCAGGUUAAUACCCCGCUGUUCUGACGGUACCCAAAGAAUAAGCACCGGCUAACUUCGUG